rnacentral:rRNA from 1 species
AUUGAACGCUGGCGGCAGGCCUAACACAUGCAAGUCGAGCGGAUGAAGAGAGCUUGCUCUCUGAUUCAGCGGCGGACGGGUGAGUAAUGCCUAGGAAUCUGCCUGGUAGUGGGGGACAACGUUUCGAAAGGAACGCUAAUACCGCAUACGUCCUACGGGAGAAAGCAGGGGACCUUCGGGCCUUGCGCUAUCAGAUGCGCCUAGGUCGGAUUAGCUAGUAGGUGAGGUAAGGGCUCACCUAGGCGACGAUCCGUAACUGGUCUGAGAGGAUGAUCAGUCAAACUGGAACUGAGACACGGUCCAGACUCCUACGGGAGGCAGCAGUGGGGAAUAUUGGACAAUGGGCGAAAGCCUGAUCCAGCCAUGCCGCGUGUGUGAAGAAGGUCUUCGGAUUGUAAAGCACCUUAAGUUGGGAGGAAGGGCAGUAAGUUAAUACCUUGCUGUUUUGACGUUACCAACAGAAUAAGCACCGGCUAACUUCGUGCCAGCCGCCGCCGUAAUAC